rnacentral:piRNA from 1 species
UGAAGGAGCUGACUGUGAAGGCAAGGAC